rnacentral:rRNA from 1 species
UGAGGAACAUGACCUUCGGCGGGGGAUAGCCGGCCCAACGGCCGGGUAAUACCGCGUACGACCACAUGGGGACAUCCCUGAGUGGUGAAAGCAGCAAUGCGCCGAUGGAGUGCCUCGCGGCCUAUCAGCUAGUUGGUGAGGUAACGGCUCACCAAGGCGACGACGGGUAGCUGGUCUGAGAGGAUGGCCAGCCACAUUGGGACUGAGACACCGGCCCAGACCUNUACCGGGGA